GCAAAACACAAUUGCAGCUCACAGGGCACAUGCAGAGCUAGUAAUUGACAAUAUCCACACCACCCAUAUGCCAGCUGGAGCUGGCUUCCUUCAUUAUUUUUACAUUUUACACCUCCACAAUUUCACCCGUCAUCGGUCAACCCCUAAUUGCCACUUCUCAGCCAGCCUGGUUUCCUCCUUCCAUUACUCUUCGCUAACCAAAAUUCUUGCUUGUCUGUGUGGCCCGUGCGCAGAGCCACAGACAAACGCCACCGAAACUGUGAGCGAUAAAAUUUACACAGAGUGGUCUCUUUUUGUGCUUGAGUGCUUUAAUAGCUUCCAAAUACUUUCACAGAAGAAGAAGAAGCUCGUUUUUUGAGCAUUGCAAUGGCAUUGCCUGUCAUUUCCAGAAUUCAAUGCGCUUCUUCUCACGGAUUUUGACAUUUCUU
rnacentral:misc_RNA from 1 species